AGUGGCUGGACUAAUCUGUGUUCCACAUGGGCAGCUGGGGCCUAAUGGUUAGAGAAUUGGACUUGUAACCAGAAGGUCGCAGGUUUGAGUCUCGAUGCUGGCAGGAGUUGUUGGUGGGUGGGGAGUGAAUGAACAGCACUCUCUUCCACCCUCGAUACCCAUGGCUGAAGUGCCCUUGAGCAAGGCACUGAACCCCCAGUUGCUCCCUGGGAGCCAGAAUUCUUGCUGGUUGGUAAGGGAUCAGAUACUUAUUUCACUAAUUGAAAUACAAAUCAAUUACUAACUUUAAUUGUCACAGACACAGGCUAGGAGACACAGAGGUAACUGGUCAAACAAAGGUCUUUAUUGACUGAGACAAGAGUGUGAACCAGGUGGUGACGAGAGAUGUAAGUAGCACAGAGUCAAGGUUCAGAGGGCUUAGCUUGCGGUGUCAGUUCUUUGCUUUCUUGCAGGAAUCACGUGAAGCAUCAGAGCGGUGGAGAAACCACACAGGUGCAUGACAAGGGAGUCAUACUAGGUCCAAGGUAGUGAAUGGUAGACCAGACAAUGAGCAUGUGAGUGGUGAGCACUAAUAAAGGGGAGCUUGAUGAGCUGCAGCAGGUGCGGGGAAUUAGAAUGCAGGAAAAUUUGAUCUUAUGAACAUUGGCGCUGAUGCUUGUGUAGACUGUGGUGAUGACGGAAGUGACUGUGACUCUGACAAAAAAAAAAAUACGUUUUUUGUCUCUAUCCAUUAAAAUAAUCAUACCAUAAAAAUUACAGACCCUUCAUUUCGCAAACUUACAAAAUUAACAGGGGAUCAAAUAAAUAUUUUCCCCACUAUAUAUAUAUAUAUAUAUAUAUAUAUAUAUAUAUAUAUAUAUAUAUAUAUAUAUAUAUAUAUUAAGUGUCUUAUUUUGAUUAAUGUUAUUUUAAAUUCCUUUUAUUUUAUUUUAUGAUUUUUUAUUUAUUUUGUGGAAAACAAUGUGAUCAAAAUUAUAGAACAGUAACCACUGUAGCACGAAAGAAGUUUACACUAAAAUUUUGGACCCUGCUUUGAAUGACUUUAGCACAUCACUAGUUUCUCACACUGCGCUAGUGUGAUCUUGGUCCACUCUUCUUCCAUAGUAUGGUAACUGAAGUGGGUUUCUUAGCCAUAAACUUUUUGCCAAGGAUUUUCCAGAGAUUUUCAAUCAGGUUUAGGUCAAGACUCUGGACCGACCAUUUCAUUAUUUCAUAGUUCUUAGCUUAAGGAACUGCUUUAUCCAUUUUACAGUGUGAUUUUCAUGCAUUGUCUUGCAUGCAUUGUCUUUUCAUGCAUUGUCUUGCAUGAAAAAUUCAGGCUGAUUGGGAUAUGCUUGCAAGGAAGAAACUGCAUGUUGCUGUAGGAGGUUCUGAUAAACAUUUGCAUUCUUUAAGUACUAUCUGUAAGUGUCCGCUAAUUUUGAGUUAUUUUCAAAUAUCUCAUUUAAGUUUUUUUAGACUGUGCUUCAGAAUACAGUUAAUUUAUGAAAUAUGCUGAAAAAUCUGCCCUUCUACUCCUGUUAGGAUAACUUCAAAUAGGACUAAGCAGUGACCUUGAAAUUUAGAAAAUUAACAGUGAUGGUUCUGGUGCCCGAGAAGCUCUUCAGGUGGUCCCGAAGCAGCAUCUAAAGUUACUGUCAUCAUCACGGAUAUUUAAACUAGUGACCUCCCCAAAUUAGGUCAUCCAGACUGGGAACCCCCUCAGUGUCUUUUUCAGGACUGGACUUAUCUGUGUGUGUUUUUGCCCCGUGACCCAGUUUCUUCCUCAUGUUGAUUGUGUUAAUUUGAUGCCAGGUGUGUCUCAUCCCUCCCCAAUUAUCCUGCUUUUAAAAGCCCUAGUCCUUUCAGUUCUUGUUUGUUGGGUCUACUUGUUGGAUGUCUCCCUGGUUUCCUGUCUCUGCUUUGGAUUAUUAAAGACUUAUUCGUGUCAUCUCCAGUGUUUCCUCGUUCUCUCCUAGAGGGAGAUUGUGAAAGAAGACCCGACCAGAAACAGUUACCUCCGUUUAUCUCCCCUCCAUUUGUUUUUCUUUUUUUUUCUCAGUCCUUUUGUUUCCGUUGUGUUGUUAUGGAUCCCCUCUUUCGCCCAGAAUACCUCUGAAAAGGGAGGAAAAAGUUUUGAAAAAGGCGGGAUCGAAGCCGGGUCGAUUAUGUCAAAAAGCUGACAACACACACUUAACCAUCUGCACCACUGGAGCUGAUUAUUCAGAGUUGCUUUUAAAGUCUUGACUAGCCCAUUCACACAUUGGGAGAGUGGCAUGACUGCCAACAAGGCAGGCUAUUUGCACUAUUUCCGUAUGUUUUAUUCCAUAGUAAGCGCAAUUCAUACAAUACAUUUAAACUGAGCUACUUUAAUAUGACAUCCAAACUUUCUACCAUGGCUCUGCUGUUCUUUGGCUGGUUCUUCCUGUAUACUUUGAUUGACAGAUGUCUCAUCCAGUCAGUGGGGGUUUUUUUUUUUUUUUUUUUUGGUUUUGCACCUCUUGGCCACCGUAAAUGUCAUCAUUGAACGUCAUAAAUUGACAGACAGCUCGAUCAUCAGAUAGACAGUUGAUGCAUUUGAAUUCGUUAAGAGAGAAACAUGCGAGUUUUUAGCUCUGGUGUCCGAAAUGCUGAGAGAUCAACUGUUAGAAGAAGAGUGCAGACAACGGCUGUGUGAUAAAUUGUUGCAAGAAGAAAGGUUAACUUUGUAUAAAGCAUUAAAUAUCAAAGAAAUCAAAGAUGAGACGAGUCAAAGAUGCUGUCGUAGUAGUCAAGUAUGGAGCCCCUAAUGGGACAUGGUGGUGUUAGGGAAUUUUUUUUGCAUUUUCACAAAACUUUUGUAUUCUCUCACAAAAUCAGUUCAGUUUGAACACUUCCUGUUUACUUUAAAGCUUGUACGUUAGUGGUUCAUACAGCUCAUAAGUUCACAAUGGAGCAGUUUAUAGAGUUUUAUUUUAAACUUGGACAAGUUCAAAUACAGUCAGCUUUGCUUAUAGUUUAAGGCACGGUUUUGGGACAUUCUAAAAUGCUUAAUGUACUAUAUGACAUUGGAGGCCCAAUUCGGUAUUAGGCCUAAUAAAUACUAUUAAUACUAAUAACCUUAUUAACAGCAUUACUAUCAGUAAAGCAGAUAGCCAUAAUGCAACGUUUCUCCCCCACAGAAAACCGCUAGACUAUAAAAAAAUGCUUAAGGGAGGCUAAUGGACAAAGACGGUAUAGGCUAAAACCAACAUAUGGUACACAGUUUAUUAAUAAAAUAUAGCCUAUUAUGCACAGGAAAGCCCAGAAUAGCUAUAAAAAAGCCAAAACCUAAUUUAAAGCGUAACAGAAAGUAUGGGUUCACGUACAACUCUCAUUCAGCACAAAUCCAAAUGUUUCCAUAUUCGGAAUGUAUUUGAAGCUAAACCAUUGUUUAUUAAAUUAACUGGGCUUUGUACGCUCCAAUAUCGAUAAAAAAAAAAAAAUAAAUCAUAAUGAACGAAAAAAUGCCAUGCUGCUUGCAAUGAAUAUGUGCGCAUGAGGCGCCGGCACGAUCAAAAUGCUGGAACAUAAAAUACUCUGUCACAGUAGAGCAUAAUUCGAGCACAGUGUUGACAGUUUACAGAUUCAAUAAUAUAAAAGAUUAUUAGAAAUUUGAAAAAAUUCAUCUGUGAGCAACUGUAUAAGAAAAUAUUUGAACAGCAGGGAAUCACUCUGAGCCAGAUAAGCAAAAGAUUUUAUGCUUAUUGUCAAAAUGUUCCCCUGAAAUGCAUAGGCUCCUUUGAUGCUUGCUUAGAGGUGACAUAUCAUGAAAAUCUGACUUUUCCAGGUUUUAAGUGCUAUAAUCAGGUCCUCUGUGCAUCUACCAACCAAGGAAAUGUGAAAAAGAUUAACGCAGUAACUUUGUUUUGGUAAGCCUUUUUCUGCAAUUGUCGGAGAAAACGAGCGCAUCAGAUUCCGCUCCCUUGGUGACGUGGCAAAGAGAUCUCAUUAUAAUACAACCGCCCCUUAAUCUGUAAGCAGAGCUGGGUAGAUUACUUACGAA
ensembl:lncRNA